AUUGAACGCUGGCGGCAUGCAUUACACAUGCAAGUCGAACGGUAACGCGGGGCAACCUGGCGACGAGUGGCGAACGGGUGAGUAAUGUAUCGGAACGUGCCCAGUUGUGGGGGAUAACUGCUCGAAAGAGCAGCUAAUACCGCAUACGACCUGAGGGUGAAAGCGGGGGAUCGCAAGACCUCGCGCAAUUGGAGCGGCCGAUAUCAGAUUAGGUAGUUGGUGGGGUAAAGGCUCACCAAGCCGACGAUCUGUAGCUGGUCUGAGAGGACGACCAGCCACACUGGGACUGAGACACGGCCCAGACUCCUACGGGAGGCAGCAGUGGGGAAUUUUGGACAAUGGACGCAAGUAUGAUCCAGCCAUGCCGCGUGCGGGAAGAAGGCCUUCGAGUUGUAAACCGCUUUUGUCAGGGAAGAAAAGGCUCCUUCUAAUAUAGGGGGCUCAUGACGGUACCUGAAGAAUAAGCACCGGCUAACUACGUGCCAGCCGCCGCGGUAA
rnacentral:rRNA from 1 species